rnacentral:lncRNA from 10 species
UUUUACUUUAACAAAAAAAACAACUGAGGGAACAAUGUGAGUGAAUUUACAAUGUGCCAUGCUCCAAAGGCAUCUCUUCUCAUUUUUGCCAGGUGGAGAGGAACUGUACUCAAGGAGCUCUGCUUAAGGAGUUUUACCCGAGGAGCCUCAUCUGCACCUGGACUUCAAGCUGAUGCUGUAAAGAGGGGAGACUUUUGGUGACUUUGGGAAGAAUGGAGAAGCAAGCUGCGUUGUUGUGUGCAGCUCUGAGGAGAAGCCCACCUGGCAGAAGGAAACUGUGUCCUGGCCACAACCGUGUGAGUGAGCUUGGAAGUGAGUGCCUCAGUCCUACGUUAGCCUUGAGAGGCCUGCAGCCCCAGCCCACAUCUUGACUGAAACCUCAUGAGAAACCCUGAGCCAGAACCACCAGCUGAGUCACUGACAGGUUACUAAAUCUCAGGAACUGUGUGAGAUAAAAUGCUUGUUGUUUUAAGCUGUGAUGUUCAGAGAUAAUGUAUUAUAUGGCAAUAGAUAACAAACAUACUAUACCCCAGGAGCCAGGACUGCCCAACAGAGUUGGGACUGUGGAGAGAAGAACUGUUCAUUUGCAGUUCGCGCCAUAAAGAUACAGCCAAUACUGAGGCACAGGGAGAGGGAAAAUCCUAGCUUCCUCAUGGCCCCUCAUUUGCCACCCUUGCCUCCAUUGGCCAAACCAAACCACAAGGAAAUUGAUAAGGGAGCCUGAGAAAUGUCAUUUCCAAGGAGCAGCCUCUAGCUACAGUAAGCCUGGACAACAUGGUGAGACCUUGUCUAUACAAAAAAUUUAAAAAAUUAAGUGGGCAUGGUGGUGCACGCCUGUGGUCCCAGCUAUUCAGGAGGCUGAGGUAGGAGGAUUGCUUGAACCCAGGAGGUCGAGGCUGCAGUGAGCCAUGUUUGCACCACGGUACUCCAGACUGCACUCUAGUGUGGGUGACAGAAUGAGACCCUAUCUCAAAAAAAAAAAAGGUCAGUCAUGGUGGCUGACACCUGUAAUCCCAGCACUUUGAGGGGCUGGGGCAGGCAGAUCACUUGAGGUCAGGAGUUGAAGACCAGCCUAGGCAACACGGUGAAACCUUGUCUCUACUAAAAAUACAAACAUUCAAAAAUUAGCCGGGCACGGUGGUGGGCACCUGCAAUCCCAGCUACUUGGGAGGCUGAGGCAUGAGAAUCGCUUGAACCCAGGAGGCAGAGGUUGCAGUGAGCCAAGAUCACACCACUGAACUCCAGCCUGGGCGACAGAGCAGGACUCUGUUUCAAAAAAAAAAAAAGAACAGAGGCAAAUUAACAGCACAGCCAAGAACUCUUUUACAUGGAAUUCCCAGUAGCAUUCUUCAAAACCUUGUCCUCAAACUCCAGUUUGGGAAACACUAGCCUAAAUUGCUCUUUUCCACAUCUCUGCAAGUUCCAAUCUUAUUCAUUAAUUCGUAUCUAUUUAAAAUGCAAAGUUUUUCUCCACUAACCUUUUCUUCCUUGUGACUUGGGGUAGCCCCCUCUUCUUUCAAUUCCACAACAUUUGAUCUAUAUCAAUUUUUCGCAUUUUCAAAUAAAAAUUGUAGUUAUUUAUUUCAUAUCUUAUCAUCUGAGAAUUAAAAAUCUUCUUGAGAGUCAGCUCUAUUUCUGAUGCAUUGUUUCAUAUUGCUCAAUCAUCACAGUACCUAGCAUAGAACCUUGCACAUAGUAAACAUAAAUAUUAUUAAAUGAAUGAAUGAAGUAAUGUCAAAACCAGUGGUAGAAAUGUUAUAUAACUCUAGUACUUUUGUUUAUGUUACUAUUUAUUUAUUUAUUUAGAGAUGGAGUCUUGCUCUGUCACCCAGGCUGAAGUACUGUGGUGCAAUCUCGGCUCACUGCAGCCUCCACCUCCCGGGUUCCAGCGAUUCUCAUGCCUCAGCCUCCCGAGUAGCUGGGAUUACAAGUGUGCGACACUACACCUGGUUAAUUUUUUUUUUUUUUUUUGCAAUUCACCACAUAAGUGUAUUAAAAAACAAACCAUAUGGUUGUCCCAAUAGAUACAGAAAAGGCAUUUGAAAAAGUUCACCUUCGGGCCAUGAUAAAUAUAGUCAGCAAACUAGGAAUAGAAGGGAACUUCCUCAAAUUGAUGAGGGCCAUCUACAAAGAACCUAUAGAUAACACCAUUCAUAAUGGUGAAAAACUGAAUACUUUCCCACUAAGAUUGGAAACAAGGUAAAGGUGUCCACUGCUACCAUUUCUUUUUUUUUUUUAGUAUUUAUUUAUCAUUCUUGGGUGUUUCUCGGAGAGGGG